rnacentral:lncRNA from 10 species
GUUGGCCCCUACUGGGAGGUGUCUCCCAGUUAGGCUAUACAGGGGUCAGGGAUCCACUUGAGGAGGCAGUCUGUCCAUUCUCGGAGCUCAAACACGUGCUGGGAGAACCACUGCUCUCUUCAGAGCUGUCAGUCAGGGACGUUUAAGUCUGCAGAAGUUGUCUGCUGCCUUUUGUUCAGCUAUGCCAUGCCCCCAGAGGCGGGGUCUACAGAGGCAGUAGGCCUUGCUGAGCUGCAGUGGGCUCUGCCCAGUUUGACCUUCCCCGGCCACUUUGUUUACCUACUCAAGCCUCAGCAAUGGUGGACGCCACUCCCCUGCCAGGCUGCUGCCUCGCAGGUCGAUCUCAGACCACUGCGCUAGCAGUGAGCAAGGCUCCGUGGGCAUAGGACCUGCCAAGCCAGGUGCGGAAUAUAAUCUCCUGGUGUGCCGUUUGCUAAGACCGUUGGAAAAGCACAGUAUUUGGACAGGAGUGUCCCGAUUUUCCAGCAAUCCUACUGGGUGUGAAGUGGAUCUCACUGUGGUUUUGAUUUGCAUUUCCCUAUUCACUAAUAAUGGCAUAAGAAGGAACCACUUCAUAGCUUUGGAAUUGGAGGUAGAAAUAACACUCUACUGAAGAAUCGAACUUGGUUGCUGUGUUUAUAGAGAGCAGUCUCUGACCCGAGGAAUGUUCAGAUCCUUGUGCUAACGAGCUGUGUUAUAAUGGAGUUCUCUUGGUCUUAGAACACUGCAUUUUGCUGACAGAAUUCCCUCAGCUCCAUCAUGAAACACGUUUUGGUGCCAGAGAGAUUGAAAUCUGUUGAAACAAAAUGAUUUCCUCAGUUGGUGAUGCAUUUGGGCAUUUUCCAUUCUUGCUAAUGAAAAAAAGAGUCUUUGCUCAUGUGACUGAGAAAGCCUGGUGAAAUAUGCCACGAACAUCCUGAACUGAGUCCUGGCCCCAGAGCACUGAUGGCGAAGUCUUAUAUUUUGACAUGAAGCCCAACAUGGCGUAAAGAGCUAGCCAGCAUUGUAAUGCUGCCUGAGUUGGUCUUUGGCCUUCUCUAGCUUGACUUUUCUGGGGAUUGACUACCCCUGGAUGCCUGGAGCUUUUCAAGAGGCGAUUGUUUCCUUGUGGCUUGUCUAUGCUGACAAUUCCUGGAGACUCCACCUCCUCUUUGAGUUCCCCUGGGCAGGCUCUAUUCCCUAAGAGCGCCACUCUAAGCUUAUUGUUUCAUGGAAAACCAGUCUUUCAAGACAAAGGGUUGUGGGUCAACAAUGGCUUUCCCUUGGAGCUAUUUUUAUUUUACUAGGAGAUUCCUGGUAAAAUUACCAGUGCCUUCAUCGAAGUAAAUAAAUCUGUGAUGUAGGGAAUUUGAGGUAUGUGGCAUGACAAGUUGGGUAGAAAAUUUUGCCUGGGAGAGGGGUUCUUUUCAACAGCUCCUUCUCCCCAAACGUAGGAACUGAACAUUUUACAAACCAUCCUAGUUAAGUCUCUUCAUGUCUG